AUUGAACGCUGGCGGCAUGCCUUACACAUGCAAGUCGAACGGCAGCACGGGUGCUUGCCCCUGGUGGCGAGUGGCGAACGGGUGAGUAAUACAUCGGAACAUGUCCUGUAGUGGGGGCUAGCCCGGCGAAAGCCGGAUUAAUACCGCCUCCGAUCUCCGGAUGACAGCGGGGGACCUUCGGGCCCCGCGCCAUCGGGUUGGCCGAUGGCUGAUUAGCUAGUUGGUGGGGUAGAGGCCUACCACGGCGACGGUCAGUAGCUGGUCUGAGAGGACGACCAGCCACACUGGGACGGAGACACGGCCCAGACUCCUACGGGAGGCAGCAGUGGGGAAUUUUGGACAAUGGGCGAAAGCCUGAUCCAGCAAUGCCGCGUGUGUGAAGAAGGCCUUCGGGUUGUAAAGCACUUUGGUCCGGAAAGAAAUCCUUGGCCCUAAUACGGUCGGGGGAUGACGGUACCGGAAGAAUAAGCACCGGCUAACUACGUG
rnacentral:rRNA from 1 species